CUUUUCUGCUGUUGCGGAUAAAUGCGAUCAGGUUCUAACAGAGUAAAAGGACAAUCAACAUUCAGCGAACAACAUUUUGACGGUAUCCUCAAUGGCGAAGUGGAGUUUCAUCCUUGUUUUCUUUAUUGCAGGUUUGUUGGAGAAUGCUAAGCAAGCACAAGAGUGGAAAGAAGUCCAAGAGUUUGAUAAAGAACAAGUU